rnacentral:rRNA from 1 species
GAUGAACGCUAGCGGCAGGCUUAAUACAUGCAAGUCAAGGGGGUAGCAAUACAACCGGCGCACGGGUGAGUAACGCGUACACAACAUACCAUAUACUGGAGUAUAGCUUUGGGAAACUGAAGGUAAUCCUCCAUAACAUUGCGAGAGGGCAUCUGAUUGCAAUUAAAGUUUCGGCGGUAUAUGAUUGGUGUGCGUUUGAUUAGCUAGUUGGUAGGGUAACGGCCUACCAAGGCGACGAUCAAUAGCUGGCGUGAGAGCGCGACCAGCCACACUGGAACUGAGACACGGUCCAGACUCCUACGGGAGGCAGCAGUGGGGAAUAUUGGGCAAUGGGGGAAACCCUGACCCAGCCAUGCCGCGUGAGUGAUGAAGGCCUUCGGUCGUAAAGCUCUGUGGGGAGGGAAAAAGCGAUGUCCCGUGAACAAUGGGUGGUUGUGAUGGUACCGUCCUUAGCAAGCACCGGCUAACUCUGUGCCAGCAGCCGCGGUAA